UCCACAACUGCAGUUGAGACCUGCAAUCAAAAGGAAGUUGGCUAUUGCUGAGUCCAUACAAUUCAGUUCUCUAUCUCUCUAUUUUUUUAAAGUUUUCUUUAAGUGUAAAAUACUAAAUUUGAAAUAAUAACGUUGUAUCCAAAACUGAACAAAGCAGCCUUUAUUAAAACAAAUAGCAAGAGCAUCCAUAGUUCCAUACACUAUGGUGACUCCAACAGAACACUGAACCGUAUUUUGUCCAUCAAUAAUGCAUUGGUCUAGAAAUGCAUAUGACUAGUUGUUCUCAUAAUUUCGCUUCCAGUGAAAUCUCACAUAAAAAGAACUAACCAAUGCCACUUUAUGAGGAAUUGAAAUGGUAAAUUUUGAGUAUUAUAAGUACCUGUGGAGAAGGAUAAAUGGUGAAUCCAAGCUUUGAUUUCUUUCCAUAA
rnacentral:misc_RNA from 1 species